AGAGUUUGAUCCUGGCUCAGGACGAACGCUGGCGGCGUGCUUAACACAUGCAAGUCGAACGAUGAAGCCCUUCGGGGUGGAUUAGUGGCGAACGGGUGAGUAACACGUGGGUAACCUGCCCUUGGCUUUGGGAUAAGCCCUGGAAACGGGGUCUAAUACCGGAUAUGACUGACUCUCGCAUGGGGGUUGGUGGAAAGUUCCGGCGGCCAGGGAUGGGCCCGCGGCCUAUCAGCUUGUUGGUGGGGUGAUGGCCUACCAAGGCGACGACGGGUAGCCGGCCUGAGAGGGCGACCGGCCACACUGGGACUGAGACACGGCCCAGACUCCUACGGGAGGCAGCAGUGGGGAAUAUUGCACAAUGGGCGAAAGCCUGAUGCAGCGACGCCGCGUGAGGGAUGACGGCCUUCGGGUUGUAAACCUCUUUCGACAGGGACGAAGCGUAAGUGACGGUACCUGUAGAAGAAGCACCGGCUAACUACGUGCCAGCAGCCGCGGUAAUACGUAGGGUGCGAGCGUUGUCCGGAAUUAUUGGGCGUAAAGAGCUCGUAGGCGGUUUGUCGCGUCGACUGUGAAAACUGGGGGCUUAACUCUCAGCUUGCAGUCGAUACGGGCAGACUUGAGUUCGGUAGGGGAGACUGGAAUUCCUGGUGUAGCGGUGAAAUGCGCAGAUAUCAGGAGGAACACCGGUGGCGAAGGCGGGUCUCUGGGCCGAUACUGACGCUGAGGAGCGAAAGCGUGGGGAGCGAACAGGAUUAGAUACCCUAGUAGUCC
rnacentral:rRNA from 1 species